UAGGCAUGCAGUCGUGCGGAAGGCCCCGCAAGGGGUACUCGAGCGGCGAAAGGGAUAGUAACACGUGGAUUACCUACCUCCCGGACGGGGAUAGCUGCGGGAAACUGCAAUUAAUACCCGAUGACGUCUUCGGACCAAAGGUGUGAUUCCGCCGGGAGACGGGUCCGCGUCCUAUUAGCUAGUUGGCAGGGUAACGGCCUACCAAGGCUCAGAUGGGUAGCGGGUGUGAGAGCACGACCCGCAUCACUGGGACUGAGACACUGCCCAGACACCUACGGGUGGCUGCAGUCGAGGAUCUUCGGCAAUGGGCGAAAGCCUGACCGAGCGACGCCGCGUGCGGGAUGAAGGCCUUCGGGUUGUAAACCGCUGUCAGUGGGGAGGAAAUAUCAGAGGGAACACCCUCUGGUUUGACCUAUCCGCAGAGGAAGGACGGGCUAAGUUCGUGCCAGCAGCCGCGGUAAUACGAACCGUCCUAACGUUAUUCGGAAUCACUGGGCUUAAAGGGUGCGUAGGCGGCCCGAUAAGUUGGGUGUGAAAUCCCUCGGCUCAACCGAGGAAUUGCGCUCAAAACUGUCGGGCUUGAGGAAGAUAGAGGUAAGCGGAACUUAGGGUGGAGCGGUGAAAUGCGUUGAUAUCCUAAGGAACACCGGUGGCGAAAGCGGCUUACUGGGUCUUUACUGACGCUGAGGCACGAAAGCUAGGGUAGCGAACGGGAUUAGAUACCCCGGUAGUCCUAGCCGUAAACGAUGAGCACUAGGUCGGAGGAUACUCCAUAGUCUUCUGGCCGUAGCGAAAGUGUUAAGUGCUCCGCCUG
rnacentral:rRNA from 1 species